AAUAGAAAUAUAGAUCUAGGUCUGUGAUUGAACCAAUAAUGACCUUUUCAAAGAAAGUGCUACCAAACAUAGACAAGAUUUGGACCUAGACUAGAUCUAUAUCUAUAUUAUAAUCUCAUACCAUAGACUCUAGAAUAUUCUAUUUAAGACUAGAUCUAGAUUUUAAAUUUUAAUUGUCAAAAUGAAGUUUACUUUGACACCAAGUACAAAGAUAAUUCUUGGCUGGACAGUGAUAAUCUCUGUUGGUCUUUAUGGGUUCACAUUAGCAAGAGACUCUGUGGUCAGUAACAGAAAAUCUCUCAUGGACAUUAGAAAAAGGAUUAGAGAACAGACCCGUACAGAAAAAGAAGCAGAACUAGAAAGCAAAGCAGCAGAAAGAGAAAAACAAACAAUUGUUACGUGAUGUUGUGACUUCAGUUUCUAUUCAUUUUGUUUGUCUUUAAUGCUAUUACUUGCAUGUUGUUGGUUUUUUUUACUUGUGUUAAUUUUGUGUAGCAGUUAGAAUAUAAUACUUAUAGCAUAUUGACACAAUCUAUGUUUACUUGUAAAGCAUUAAACAAAAAUGUUCCUUGGGAUGUGUUAAAAUGGUACAAAUAUAGAUCAUUUUCAUUAUAAGACAGAAUAUAAUUGAUAACACCUUUCUGGCCAAAGAUUUAGAGCAAUUUGUUAUGUUAGCACCAGUACUGUCUUCAUGUUUUCCAAUGAUGCUGAAUGCACAUUAUUUUUUUGUUUAUCCUGGUUAGACACCAGCAUAUCCUUAAAUUAAAAUUGUUUAAUGCAGAAAUUCAUUAGAAAUACCCUACUGGAGAUAUUGUAAAAGUAGGCUAACUUGUAUGAAGUACACAUUGUCCACUCUCGUGAGCAACUCCUUAUCUUUGAACCAGUGUCGCCUUAACCUGCUGUCCUGAAUGGGCAAUAAUUUAUUGGUCAUGGUGGUUAAGUAACAAGCAUCAUUUUUGUCUGUCAAACCCAAUCCUUGUUUAACAUUACUUUCAAUGCUUAGCCAAAGUCUUUAACUGUUUGCUUCUAAACCUCAUUAGAACUAGUUUAUCAUCAUGUUUAAUCCAUGAAUUUGUCAACAGGAGUUGAACUAUUGUACAGUUAUUUUUAGCUUCUAUUGUAAAGCUGGAUGAAAUGUUGCCUUGUGAGAUUUGAUUCAAAAUGCAUGAUUUGUCUGAAAGACUUUUGGCAAAUAAAUAUGUCUUUGCUCUGUUUGGUAUAGCUAUGGAUUUUGUAUAGAAGUUCACCUUUAUACUUGUUAGAAUGCUAGUUCCUGAAGUUUGAAUGGAGUUUUCUGAUAAACAAGCUCUGUAAACUCUGACCCAGAUGCUGGUAUUAAAUAAUGGGUUUACUCUUUGGCACUGUGUGCAUACAUUUCUUUGUUGUCAAUUGAGUCUCUGAUGGUGGAAAUGUCAAAUUGUUUCAAAUGCUGUGUUUUGUUUUAACAGGUGAUAAUAAAGUAAGCUACAAGACAAAACUA
rnacentral:sRNA from 1 species